UCCCUGAUAGCUCAGUUGGUAAAGAAUCUGCCUGCAAUGCAGGAGGCCCCGGUUCAAUUCCUGGGUUGGGAA
rfam:TPA: Bos taurus chromosome 11, whole genome shotgun sequence.